rnacentral:rRNA from 1 species
CCUACGGGUGGCAGCAGUGAGGAAUAUUGGUCAAUGGACGGAAGCCUGAACCAGCCAUGCCGCGUGCAGGAAGACGGCUCUACGAGUUGUAAACCGCUUUUGUACAAGGGUAAACCUGAAUACGUGUAUUUAGCUGAAAGUACUGUACGAAUAAGGAUCGGCUAACUCCGUGCCAGCAGCCGCGGUAAUACGGAGGAUCCAAGCGUUAUCCGGAUUUAUUGGGUUUAAAGGGUGCGUAGGCGGAUUGUUAAGUUAGAGGUGAAAUGUCCGGGCUUAACUCGGGAACUGCCUCUAAUACUGGUGAUCUAGAGAGUAGGUGCGGUAGGCGGAAUGUAUGGUGUAGCGGUGAAAUGCUUAGAGAUCAUACAGAACACCGAUUGCGAAGGCAGCUUACCAAUCUAUAUCUGACGUUGAGGCACGAAAGCGUGGGGAGCGAACAGGAUUAGAUACCCCAGUAGUC